CUUUUUUAACAUUUCCUAUUGUGUGUUGAGAUAUUCACAAAAACGUAUUUGUCGUGUUUAUCUAUAAAUUGACAGCACAGUAUUAUUAGGUAUCUUUUGGACCCAAGAAGUCAACGAGGAAAAUAUCAAGAUGGACGUUGUCUGCGUAUACAGUUUUCAUUUUAUCAUUCGUGACUGUGUAUUCUGCUUUUUAGAAAUCUUUUGUUUCACUGAGACGUCAUUCUGAUGGCAUGGAAUUGCGCAAUCGCAUGCAAUACCAUGGGAAGCUAUUUUUGUAUAUGUGAUAAAAAGAUUAAGAAACCAGGGCAAGCAUCUUUAUUUUGCGUAAAUUUGCCAUGUUUUAGCUGUAUUGUGCAACAUCGCAACGACUGAAAACUUGUUGACUACGGUAGUCUAUGCUCAAACCACCUGGCAUAUCAAUCAGUCAGUCAAGGCAAGUCGGAGUUGCAUAAGAUUGCGUAAGUCUUUGCAAGUGCGACUAUGUAAUGGUGUAUUUUUCUACGUGUGUUUUACACAUGAUAAUAGCAUGCCCGCAGUCCCCGCCACGGCCAAUGGAAUGUUUACAGGAUAUGUCCAAUCUUUCAAGUUUGGUGUGAUUAUUCUUUUACGGGUUGGCCAGUUGUUUUAAUACAGGUUGACCGGUUGUUUAAUGCCCUUCUCCUCUUUCCUCGCUCCCCCUUUUCCGCUAUGGAAUAACCCAUGGUCGCUGGCCAAUGGGCUGCCUAGUAUUCAUAUUGCGUAAUGCAGAUGAAACGUAAACCAAGCUGAUUACGAGCACAGCAGUCAUUUCGCUGCCAGACAGAGGGGAGACAACACGGGUCUGGGACCGGUCUCUGAUGAUUAAUAGCAACUGCCCCCACGAAGUCAACGCACUCCCCUGCACUUCGGGGCUCAUCAUAAAGAUGUUUACGAAGUACAACUAUAAUAUUUGCAGUGGAAAGGAAACAUCUCAUCGUCAUGGACUUCUUAUUCUAUUUCUUAUCACUUUUAUUAUUCUUUUUUCAAAGGCAAAUCAACAUUUUGGAAUAUUUUGAAUAUUUCGUUGGGCUAAAGCGUUCAGGUACAGGUUGAUGUGUGUGUGUGUCUCUCUAUCCGCAAGGGACGUCGCUGAUGGCUUGCACUGGAAGACGAGCUGUAUCACUGAAGGGAAGGACAUUCGUAAGAAAAUUGCUACAAGGAGACCGAGACUGGAAGCCAUGCAAAACCUGAAACAACGUCGCCCGAAGGAGCAAGGCCAUGAGAGGGAAAUGCAAGACCGACAGCAGAGCUGCGUGCAGCCAAGCGAUUGCGCUGCUAUUGAUGGUAAAACUGAGUGCAGUUAGAGAAUUCAUGGACUGACAUACACGUGCUGUCUGCGUUAUUUGACUUAUACGAAUACGUGUUGUCUAUUCUAUUAGGUCAUAUUAAGGAAUGUAAAAAAAUACUUCAAUUGACCUAGAUGGAUAUACGAAUGGUCGACAUCACAACCAAACGUAUUUGAAAUCUUUAUUGACACGACAAAAGUACAGAGACUUUCGUGAGGAUUAUAACAAGUACUUACAGUGCAACUAAGCAGACGUAUAUGCAUAUUUACAGAUAUGAAUAAGUCAACAUAUUGUUCUAGCAUGUCAUUUACAUAAUUCGAACAUUGCCUGCAAAUUUCUUGAGUUACAAACAAACUCUUACCAACUCUACGCUUAAACACACGUCUGUGCAGCCGUUUACUUUUCGGGCCGGAACUCGGUGUAAUACAUAAAUGGGACCUUACAGGUAUUGUAUAUACAAGCUGUAUCAGUCUUUCACUCCGUCACUUACAAGAAGAUACAACGCAACGUUUGCUAGAAGUAAUUAGUCAGUGGUAUUGUACUGUGAUUGUUAUUCUUAGACGGUUAUUCGUUUGAUGACGUGAACUGCAACAGACUGAGAUGUACUAGUAACCAAUGUUUAGUGAUAUGAGCGGAGUUGUGUAGCUGUCUGUCAGGUAAGACAGAAUACAAAGACGAGAGAUUUCUACGGCAGUUCAGAAGAGCAGACAUUUGUCUGGUACUGAGACAGAUUGUGAAGACAGGAGAUUUCUAAGGUAAGAGAGUUCAGUUCAGGAGAGACAAUAUAGAGCUUCACCAAAGUGAGAGAGCAUUAUUA